AAAAAAUUAGUUAAACACGAUAACAUUAGAUUGUCAAGCUAAAAUUAUUUAAAAUAUAAAUAUUUUUUA
rnacentral:tRNA from 1 species